rnacentral:rRNA from 1 species
UACGUAGGGCGCAAGCGUUAUCCGGAAUUAUUGGGCGUAAAGAGCUCGUAGGCGGUUUGUCGCGUCUGCCGUGAAAGUCCGGGGCUCAACUCCGGAUCUGCGGUGGGUACGGGCAGACUAGAGUGAUGUAGGGGAGACUGGAAUUCCUGGUGUAGCGGUGAAAUGCGCAGAUAUCAGGAGGAACACCGAUGGCGAAGGCAGGUCUCUGGGCCACUACUGACGCUGAGAAGCGAAAGCAUGGGAGCGAACAGG